CCUACGGGCGGCAGCAGUGGGGGAUAUUGCACAAUGGGGGGAACCCUGAUGCAGCGACGCCGCGUGGGUGAAGAAGCGCCUCGGCGCGUAAAGCCCUGUCAGCAGGGAAGAAAAUGGCGGUACCUGAAGAAGAAGCCCCGGCUAACUACGUGCCAGCAGCCGCGGUAAUACGUAGGGGGCAAGCGUUAUCCGGAUGUACUGGGUGUAAAGGGGGCGCAGACGGCGAUGCAAGCCAGGAGUGAAAGGCGGGGGCCCACCCGUGGGACUGCCCUUGGAACUGCGUGGCUGGAGUGCAGGAGGGGCAGGCGGAAUUCGUGGUGUAGCGGUGAAAUGCGUAGAUAUCAGGAGGAACCCCGGUGGCGAAGGCGGCCUGCUGGACUGUAACUGACGUUGAGGCUCGAAAGCGUGGGGAGCAAACAGGAUUAGAUACCCGAGUAGUC
rnacentral:rRNA from 1 species